AUACGUAGGUGGCAAGCGUUGUCCGGAUUUACUGGGUGUAAAGGGCGAGUAGGCGGGACUGCAAGUCAGGUGUGAAAUGCGGAGGCUCAACCUCCGACUUGCAUUUGAAACUGAUGGUCUUGAGUGCUGGAGAGGAAAGCGGAAUUCCUAGUGUAGCGGUGAAAUGCGUAGAUAUUAGGAGGAACACCAGUGGCGAAGGCGGCUUUCUGGACAGUAACUGACGCUGAGGCGCGAAAGCGUGGGGAGC
rnacentral:rRNA from 1 species